UACGAAGGGGGCUAGCGUUGUUCGGAUUUACUGGGCGUAAAGCGCACGUAGGCGGAUCUUUAAGUCAGAGGUGAAAUCCCAAGGCUCAACCCCGGAACUGCCUUUGAUACUGGUAGUCUCGAGUCCGGAAGAGGUGAGUGGAAUUCCGAGUGUAGAGGUGAAAUUCGUAGAUAUUCGGAGGAACACCAGUGGCGAAGGCGGCUCACUGGUCCGGUACUGACGCUGAGGUGCGAAAGCGUGGGGAGCAAACAGG
rnacentral:rRNA from 1 species